GACGAACGCUGGCGGCGUGCUUAACACAUGCAAGUCGAACGGUGAAGGGACCGGUUUUUGCUGGUUCUGGAUGAGAGGCGAACGGGUGAGUAACACGUGUGCAACCUGCCCCCUUCUUCCGGAUAACCGCAUGAACGUGUGGCUAAUACGGGCUAUUCUGCGCCUGCUGCAUGGUGGGUGUGGGACAGUUAUUGUUUCGGUGGGGGAUGGGCUCGCGGCCUAUCAGCUUGUUGGUGGGGUGAUGGCCUAACCAGACGGUGACGGGUAGCCGGCCUGAGAGGAUGAGCGGUCACACAGGGACUGAGACGCGGCGCAGACUCCGACAGGAGGCAGCAGUGGGGAAUAUUGCACAGUGGGCGGAAGCCUGAUGCAGCGACGCCGCGUGAGGGAUGGAGGCCUUCGGGUUGUAAACCUCUUGCGCCAGUGAAGCAGGCCUGUCCCUUUUGUGGGUGGGUUGACGGUAGCUGGAUAAGAAGCGCCGGCUAACUACGUG
rnacentral:rRNA from 1 species